rnacentral:rRNA from 1 species
UACGGAGGAUCCAAGCGUUAUCCGGAUUUAUUGGGUUUAAAGGGUGCGUAGGCGGAUUGAUAAGUUAGAGGUGAAAUGUCCGAGCUCAACUCGGGAACUGCCUCUAAUACUGUUGAUCUAGAGAGUAGAUGCGGUAGGCGGAAUGUAUGGUGUAGCGGUGAAAUGCUUAUAGAUCAUACAGAACACCGAUUGCGAAGGCAGCUUACCAAUCUAUAUCUGACGUUGAGGCACGAAAGCGUGGGGAGCAAACAGG